UCCGGUUGAUCCUGCCGGACCCCACUGCUAUCGGGAUAGGACUAAGACAUGCUAGUCAAGCGCUCGCCAGCCAAAGGUGAGUGCGGCGCACAGCUCAGUAACACGUGGCUAACCUGCCCUUGGGACGAGGACACCCCCGGGAAACUGGGGCUAAUCCUCGAUAGGUGAAGAACUCUGGAAUGAAUCUCCGCCCAAAAGACGCUUACGUCAUGCUCGUAAGCGCCGCCCAAGGAUGGGGCCGCGACCGAUCAGGUUGUUGGCGAGGUAAUGGCUCACCAAGCCUUUUACCGGUGCGGGCCGUGGGAGCGGGAGCCCGGAGAUGGGCACUGAGACAAGGGCCCAGGCCCUACGGGGCGCAGCAGUCGCGAAAACUUUGCAAUACACGAAAGUGUGACAGGGCUAUCCCGAGUGCCAUCCGCUGAGGAAGGCUUUUACCCAGUUUAGAACGCUGGGGGAAUAAGGAGAGGGCAAGACUGGUGUCAGCCGCCGCGGUAAUACCAGCUCUCCGAGUGGUGUGGAUGUUUAUUGGGCCUAAAGCAUCCGUAGCUGGCUGGGCAAGUCCCCUGUUAAAUCCACCGAUUCAAUCGUUGGAGUGCGGGGGAAACUGCUCGGCUAGGGGACGAGAGAGGCCGACGGUAUUUCCGGGGUAGGGGUGAAAUCCUAUAAUCCCGGGAAGACCACCAGUGGCGAAGGCUGUCGGCUAGAACGCGCCCGACGGUGAGGGAUGAAAGCUGGGGGAGCGAACCGGAUUAGAUACCCGGUAGUCCCAGCCGUAACGAUGCAGGCUAGGUGUUGGGCGGCACGUGCCGCUCUAGUGCGCAGCAGCUGUAGCUGCGCUGGGAGUACGAUCGCAGAUGAACUAAAGAUGGCGGGGAGCACCCACAGGGUGAGCUGCGAUAUGAGUCACGCGAAUCG
rnacentral:rRNA from 1 species